rnacentral:rRNA from 1 species
AAACGCUGGCGGCAUGCCUAACACAUGCAAGUCGAACGGCAGCACAGUAAAGAUUUCGGUCUUUACGGGUGGCGAGUGGCGGAUGGGUGAGUAAAGCGUAGGAAUCUGUCCUGGAGAGUGGGAUAACCCGAGGAAACUCGGGCUAAUACCGCAUGAUAUCGAGAGAUCAAAGCAGGGGACCCUUCGGGGCCUUGCGCUCUAGGAUGAGCCUACGUCGGAUUAGCUAGUUGGUGGGGUAAAGGCCUACCAAGGCGACGAUCCGUAGCUGGUCUGAGAGGAUGACCAGCCACACUGGGACUGAGACACGUCC